rnacentral:lncRNA from 1 species
AUGGCAUUACCAUCUAACAAGCCUCCCCCUCCUCCUUUGAGCCUCGGCUCCAGCCUCCCCUCCUCUGUAAUGCCAUCCUCCCUCUCCCCCAACAGCAAUGGCCCCUCUACUCUCUGUCCCACUGCCACACCCUGUAUUGCCCUCCAUCAUAGCGCCCGGCUCAGUGCCACCUUCCUGUCCCCAGCUCACCGGGGGAGGAUUAGACAUAGGCCCUGCCCAGCAGGCCAGCCAGGCUGUGUCAUGAACAACAGGAAACAAGCACUGUUUUAUCUCAGCCUUCCUUUUAUAUAUAUAUAUAUCUAUAUUCCAAACAUGAAAUAGAGAAGUCUUAUCAAGCACAUUUAAUCACUGCUCUUCCUCCUCCUCCUCUCAUUACAAUGAAGGUGAUAUAACCUGUGUCCUUGGCAGGCUGGAACAAAUGGGACCAGAAAUCCAAGUCAUUUUACAAACCACCUGGAUUUCUUCAUCUUCAUGUCGGCAUUCACUCCAUAAGCCUUCACCCAGACUUUUCUGUGAGCCGGGGGCAGUGCCAUGCUACAGAAUCAUACAGUGGUCCCUGCCCUAUGGAGCGUGCUGGCCAAUAAGGAAGUAGCUUGUGCAUCUGGAGUUAUCUCUUUCUAUGUGCACUGCAACUGAGCAUGAUGCUGUGGGAAAAUGGAUAAGGGAGGGGCUGAGUCUGUCUGGAGGGAUCAGGGAAGACUUCACAGAGGAAGUGACAUGUUUGCUGGGUCUUAAAGGAUAAGAAAAAAGGAGAGACGUUCUAAAGGGCAAAGGGAACAGCAUGUACAAAUGCAAAGAGGUGUGUAGAAAAGGGCACAUGCUAAGGAGACUAGGGAGGACAGUUGGGUCCAGAAUUUGAAGGGCCACAUGUGUUGCUGGAGGCACUGGGCACCUGUUGGUGUCUAUUUUGCAGGAAGUUCACUCUGGAAACUGAGCAGAGGCCAGACCAUUCUGGAGUGGGUAGGGGGCUGUGACAGCCACAGCCUGUGAGAUCCCCAUGUAAGAUAACUGACCUUUUAUUUUAAAGGUCUUACAGCUACAGACUGGACAGGCUGGGGUGGGAGAUUUAAUUUAACCCCCAAACAGGGACUAGCACAAGUGCUACCACUCCUCUCGCCUAUGUCCUUGGCAGGCAUUGCUAAUCAAUCACAGCAUCAUCCUCAUCCUACAACUGAGGAAGCAGGGGUGGGAAGGUGGGCUUGGGACCCCACCGAGUUACAACACAACAGAGCCAGGUCCCCAGCCAGAGGGGGUGGUGACAGAUCUGGCAAGCCAGAGGUUCAGACAAACAUGGGUGUGUAUCCAGGUUCUUCCAUUUACU